UGCCCCCUACGGGGGGCAGCAGUGAGGAAUAUUGGUCAAUGGACGAGAGUCUGAACCAGCCAAGUAGCGCGAAGGAUGACUGCCCUAUGGGUUGUAAACUUCUUUUAUAUGGGAAUAAAAUGUUCCACGUGUGGGAUUUUGUAUGUACCAUAUGAAUAAGGAUCGGCUAACUCCGUGCCAGCAGCCGCGGUAAUACGGAGGAUCCGCGCGUUAUCCGGAUUUAUUGGGUUUAAAGGGAGCGUAGGGG
rnacentral:rRNA from 1 species